UCAGCCAAACUCUUUUAAUGUCCGGUUUCCAUUAAAACAAUCUUAAGACACCAAACUCUACUUAAUAAAGGAGUUUGAAAGCUUAAUGUUGCCGAAAUUCCAUAAACAAUGACUGGACCGUCUUUAUAUAUGCCUCAUGGAUGUAUGUAUGUGUUUGCCCCAGAGGGAGCAUUUAUAAUUACCCACAUAAUUACGGCUUUUUAUCGAGUCUCCAGACUGAGGUCCUGCUUUAAGGCUACACCACAGGUCAGGAUGGAUCUUUUGCUGGAAUCGUGUCCGGGGGAAAAAAACAAAAAAAACAAAAAACAUGGACAUGCCAUGCAAAGAGGCGAAAUGGAAAUAUUAUGCUUUCUUUCUUUAUCACCGCGGCAUUAAUUUGUCUGUCGGACCCUGCAAUCAGGCAGCGCCGGCUCCGAAGGAGGUCGAUGCCCGAACCUAUCAACUGCUGUGAUGUGAAAUGUGAAAGUGUGAUGAGCGCCAGAGAAAGCACCGACUCUAUUCAUAGCACGAGCUUGCCCAGGCCUUUGAAUGGACCACAGGAAGCCCCUUCAUGGCUCCAGUAAACACAGUCAUCCACAUGUUUUCCGACUGGCUCUGAGUGACGCGAGCCGACUUACGAGAUACAGAGGAGGGAAGUUUCCCAUCAGAAAGCCGUGACAGGGGCUCAGACAGCGGCGGGGUGCAGCAGGCUGACCGAAAUGACAAGCCACAGUAAAACCAAGAGCCCUGCUGAACCCGGUGUUCUUCAAGCCUGCAGCUCAGGAUUCAACUCCGAAGGCCUGUAGUGUAUGUAUGUGUAGGUGUGUGUGUGUGUGUGAGGGUGUGUAAGAUGGAGUUGACAAGGCCCGCUUGUCCCGGCGCUCUGUAUCGAGUUACCAAACACGCCUUUCAUGGACGAAUUCUCCGACCAGCCUACGUUCAAAAGGCCGCCAAAUUAGAGAGAGCUGACAGCUGAAGUUCGAGAGCCGUGAUAAGUCAGCGUUCGUCCAAAACUCAGAGACGACGAGACCGGGAGAGGAGCUGGGAGCCGGGUGGCCAGGCGAUAAACCACAAAGAGUCAACUCCUCUGUCCUUAUCAGCACCAUUUCGCCAAUGCCGAGCGUCCACCGUACAAGUACAUGUGUACGUCGUGACUACAGAAACGUAUUCGUAUUCAAAUGAGCUUAUUAGUCAACGCCUUCUGACCAAUCAGGAUCGAGAAUUCGAUGUCGCUCCGGUUUACAAACUGGAUAAUUCUUAUAACAGACUGCGAUUUAAAUCCGUUUGAGUGGAGGAGUUAUCCGACGUUCUGAAUCGAUCGUAAACCGUACAAGAGGCAAGUUUCUUGUACAGAUAUACACACUGAGGUAAGUCUUCAUUAAGAUCGAGAUCAGCACACACUAGUGUUUCAUGGCCGUACCAGUUACGGCGUGUGUGUGUGUGUGUGUGUG